rnacentral:tRNA from 1 species
ACUAAUUAAAAAGUUUUGAUUUGAAAUCAAGUACCAAAGCGAGUAGGAGUGCUUAUUAGUCUA